AAAUGCCUCCCCAUAAAGGUUAUGCACCCACUGUAAAUGCAGCAUCUCUUCAAAAAGAUGGCCAGGAUCCCAGUAUAACAGAAACCUCUCAAAACCUCAGACCAAAGAGGUGGAUUAUUGUAUUUUCCUUCCAGACCCAAAUGCCUGUUUUUGAAGGACAGUGGAAAACGGAGAAGAGGGAAGCACCAGCAAGACAGAAAGGAACACAACCAACCUCCCCCGAACGGGAGGCGCAGAGGAAGCAGGCGGCUGUGCUCCUUGAAAGCAGCCAUCCGUCCAACUCCAUUUCAAUAAUGUUUGCAAUUUUCCUCCUACUGGGUUGACUGGAGGCACAGCUGCCCCAUAUGCGGGUCCAUGCGCCCAGCUUUUGCUAAAAAUGACCCUAACAAAUAAAAGGUGAAGCGAGU
rnacentral:lncRNA from 1 species